rnacentral:rRNA from 1 species
AUACGGAGGGUGCAAGCAUUGAUCGGAAUUACUGGGCGUAAAGGGCGCGUAGGCGGCUGUGUAAGUCAGAUGUGAAAUUCCGGGGCUCAACCCCGGAGCUGCAUUUGAAACUGCAUAGCUAGAGUACAGUUAGGGUAAACGGAAUUCCAGGUGUAGAGGUGAAAUUCGUAGAGAUCUGGAGGAACACCGGCGGCGAAGGCGGCCUGCUGGGGCUUUUCUGACGCUGAGGCGCGAAAGCGUGGGGAGCAAACAGGAUUAGAUACCCCUGUAGUCC